GGACCUCCAAUCAGUCAAGAUURCCCG
rnacentral:rRNA from 1 species